GCCCCCAGCACAGGAGAGGGAGACAGCAGAGAGGGCCGGAGGGAGGGAGCUGGUGGCUUAAAAUGGAGCCGUUUACAACCCCGCACAGCAAAUGGAGCCAUUGGGAGGACACUUGACCGAGAGGAGAGCAUUGCUUGAGCCAGGGGUGCCGUCUGCAGGACAGAGACAGGAGGCAGUGUUGUUUCCAGGGCAUCGUGGACCAUGGCACAGGUGGCUAACUGAUAUGGUUGGCUGUGUCCCCACCCAAAUCUCAUCUUGAAUUUCCAUGUGUUGUGGGAGGGACCCAGUCGAAGAUAAUUGAAUCAUGGAGGCAAGUCUUUCCUGUGUUGUUCUCACGAUAGUGAAUACAUCUCACGAGAUCUGAUGGUUUUAAAAACAGGAGUUGCCCUGUAAGAGCUCUUUCUCCCUUUGCCUGCUACCAUCCAUGUAAGAUGUGACUUGCUCCUCCUUGCCUUCCACCAUGAUUG
rnacentral:lncRNA from 10 species